CACGUAGGGCGCAAGCGUUGUCCGGAAUUAUUGGGCGUAAAGAGCUCGUAGGCGGUCUGUUACGUCUGCUGUGAAAACCCGGGGCUUAACCCUGGGCUUGCAGUGGAUACGGGCAGACUAGAGGCAGGUAGGGGAGAAUGGAAUUCCCGGUGUAGCGGUGAAAUGCGCAGAUAUCGGGAGGAACACCGGUGGCGAAGGCGACAUCCUGGACCGGUAUUGACGCUGAGGCGCGAAAGCCAGGGGAGCAAACGGG
rnacentral:rRNA from 1 species